GUACUUUGAAAAGAGAGUCAAAAAGACCGCGAAACCGUUAGGAGGGAAACGAAUGCAGCCAAAGUGGCUCUCAUUCAGGCUCAGGAGUUGUCGGUGCGCAGUGCCAGGCUGUUGGACACCGAAGGGUGCGGCAGUCAGGAUACAGCAUGCCGAGCACUCUGCAUUCCUGAUGAGAGUCGGCCAACAGCAGUUACCCCUGACUCGAAAGGGCUGUCGGGAAGGUAGCUUCUUGGUUUACCAGGAAGAACUUAUAGCCAUCGGCCUGGCAGUUGGGGGUGACUGAGGAGUGCUGUGACUUUUCACACCAGCAGUGCAGGCUCCCUAGGGGCCGGGUCGCUUCUGUCCGUGUGGGCAAUGCUUCCGGGACUGCAUGCAGUGUCGGAAGACAUGUGUGUGCUCGGGUGGGAGGUUGGCCACGCCUUGCACUGAAGUUGUUGGUACCUGGAUGGUUUCAUUCGACCCGUCUUGAAACACGGACCAAGGAGUGCAACAUGCGUGCGAGUCUUGGGGUGGAAAACCUGUUGGCGCAAUGAAAGUGAAGGUAGGCAUUGGUCUACCGAGGCAAGAGCCACCUUGGGGUGGCACAUUGUCGACCGAUCCCAGGCUACGCUGUAGUGGGAUUUGAGUGAGAGCGUGCCUGUUGCGACCCGAAAGAUGGUGAACUAUGCCUGAAUAGGGCGAAGCCAGAGGAAACUCUGGUGGAAGCUCGUAGCGAUUCUGACGUGCAAAUCGAUCGUCAAAUUUGGGUAUAGGGGCGAAAGACUAAUCGAACCAUCUAGUAGCUGGUUCCCUCCGAAGUUUCCCUCAGGAUAGCUGGAACCCGGAGCAGUUUUAUCAGGUAAAGCGAAUGAUUAGAGGUCUUGGGGUUGAAACAACCUCAACCUAUUCUCAAACUUUAAAUGGGUAAGAAGUCUGGCUUGCUCGACUUGAAGUCAGGCAUCGAAUGCUGGGGUUCCUAGUGGGCCAUUUUUGGUAAGCAGAACUGGCGAUGCGGGAUGAACCGAACGCCGGGUUAAGGUGCCCGAAUCGGCGCUCAUCAGACACCAUGAAAGGUGUUGGUUGAUCUAGACAGCAGGACGGUGGCCAUGGAAGUCGGAAUCCGCUAAGGAGUGUGUAACAACUCACCUGCCGAAUCAACUAGCCCUGAAAAUGGAUGGCGCUAAAGCGCCGUACCCAUACCCGGCCGUCGGGACGAGAGGCCUGUCCCGACGAGUAGGAGGGCGCGGUGGUGCCGUGCAUCCCGAGGCGCGAGCCUGGGCGAAGCCGCCUCCGGUGCAGAUCUUGGUGGUAGUAGCAAAUAUUCAAACGAGAGCUUUGAAGACUGAAGUGGAGAAAGGUUCCAUGUGAACAGCAGUUGGACAUGGGUUAGUCGAUCCUAAGAGAUGGGGAAGCUCCCUAGCAAGGGUGCACUCACUUCUGUGACCGCACCGUCCAUCGAAAGGGAAUCGGGUUAACAUUCCCGAACCGGGACGAGGAUAAGGCCCCGCGCCUACGGCGGCAACGCAAGCGAACUCGGAGACGCCGGCGGGAGCUCCGGGAAGGGUUCUCUUUCCUUCUUAACGGACCGUCACCCUGGAAUCAGAUUGGCUGGAGAUAGGGUCGAAUGUCCGGUAAAGCGCCGCACCUCUGGCGGUGUCCGGUGCGCUCUCGACGGCCCCUGAAA
rnacentral:rRNA from 1 species